rnacentral:rRNA from 1 species
GGAAUAUUGGACAAUGGGCGAAAGCCUGAUCCAGCAAUGCCGCGUGAGUGAUGAAGGCCUUAGGGUUGUAAAGCUCUUUUACCAGGGAUGAUAAUGACAGUACCUGGAGAAUAAGCUCCGGCUAACUCCGUGCCAGCAGCCGCGGUAAUACGGAGGGAGCUAGCGUUAUCCGGAAUUACUGGGUUUAAAGGGUGCGUAGGCGGCUUUGUAAGUCAGGAGUGAAAGUUUGCGGCUCAACCGUAAAAUUGCUUUUGAUACUGCAAGGCUAGAAUCAGGAUGAGGUCAGCGGAAUGUGGCAUGUAGCGGUGAAAUGCAUAGAUAUGCCAUAGAACACCAAUUGCGAAGGCAGCUGGCUAGACCUGUAUUGACGCUGAGGCACGAAAGCGUGGGGAGCGAA